ensembl:lncRNA
AAUAUCGGCUACAGACUGGAUGAGAUCCUCCUGGUAAACACCUAAUCAGCCCUCCCAACCUCAGCAUCACGCCUUCGGCAGCGUGAUCUCCCAGGUUCUUCUCCAACCACGGCGUGCCAUGUCUCCUGCAUCUGCUUUUCCCACCAGGCCUUGGCCCCACUGACGGGACGUCAGCUGGCUGGGUACGCCGAGGGCAUCUGUUCCGAAUGUCCUGAUGAGAAAACCCAAAGAGACCAGGCUCGACCCCGAAGGCACAGCCAGAAACAUGAGCUUAACAGUUCUGUUGUGGAUGGAUUUGAGGGAGAAGCGCGAAUGAAUUGUCAGCAGGAUGGUCUCGGCUUUUAUCCUGGGAUUUGCUGCCGGGCCCCUGAGAUCUGGCUUCCUUGCGUGGAGCCCCAGGAUUUAUACACAUUCUUUGCAGACGGGGAUUCAUUGUGCAGAGCAGCCUGGGGCUGGGCUCUGUGGACAGAGAACCUGGCAGGUGUGGCUGGGAGGGGAGGGGAAUCCUUGCAACCCUAUGCUUCCUUCAGAUGAGGAAGUCCUGAACUAGGGGGCUCUGACCCUAGUG